UACGAAGGGGGCUAGCGUUGCUCGGAAUCACUGGGCGUAAAGGGUGCGUAGGCGGGUCUUUAAGUCAGGGGUGAAAUCCUGGAGCUCAACUCCAGAACUGCCUUUGAUACUGAUGGACUUGAGUGAAGUCGAGGUUGGCGGAAUUGACGGUGUAGCGGUGAAAUGCUUAGAUAUCGUCAAGAACACCGAUAGUGAAGACAGCUAACUAGACUUAUACUGACGCUGAGGCACGAAAGUGUGGGGAUCAAACAGG
rnacentral:rRNA from 1 species